rnacentral:rRNA from 1 species
GGUGAACGCUGGCGGCGUGCUUAAGACAUGCAAGUCGAACGGCAGUCUUCGGACUGUAGUGGCGCACGGGUGAGUAACGCGUAACUGACCUGCCCCAAAGUCGCGGAUAACGAUUCGAAAGAAUCGCUAAUACGUGAUGUGCUGUCAGAUUGUGUUCUGCCAGUAAAGAUUGAUUGCUUUGGGAUGGGGUUGCGUUCCAUCAGCUAGUUGGUGGGGUAAAGGCCCACCAAGGCGACGACGGAUAGCCGGCCUGAGAGGGUGGCCGGCCACAGGGGCACUGAGACACGGGUCCCACUCCUACGGGAGGCAGCAGUUAGGAAUCUUCCACAAUGGGCGAAAGCCUGAUGGAGCGACGCCGCGUGAGGGAUGAAGGUCUUCGGAUCGUAAACCUCUGAAUCAGGGACGAAAGACACUUCGGUGGGAUGACGGUACCUGAGUAAUAGCACCGGCUAACACGUGCCAGCCGCCGCGGUAAGAC